AUUGAACGCUAGCGGCAGGCUUAACACAUGCAAGUCGAGCGGGGUGAUGGUGCUUGCACUAUCACUUAGCGGCGGACGGGUGAGUAAUGCUUAGGAAUCUGCCUAUUAGUGGGGGACAACAUCUCGAAAGGGAUGCUAAUACCGCAUACGUCCUACGGGAGAAAGCAGGGGAUCACUUGUGACCUUGCGCUAACAGAUGAGCCUAAGUCGGAUUAGCUAGUUGGUGGGGUAAAGGCCUACCAAGGCGACGAUCUGUAGCGGGUCUGAGAGGAUGAUCCGCCACACUGGGCCUGAGACACGGCCCAGACUCCUACGGGAGGCAGCAGUGGGGAAUAUUGGACAAUGGGGGGAACCCUGAUCCAGCCAUGCCGCGUGUGUGAAGAAGGCCUUAUGGUUGUAAAGCACUUUAAGCGAGGAGGAGGCUCUUUUGGUUAAUACCCAAGAUGAGUGGACGUUACUCGCAGAAUAAGCACCGGCUAACUCUGUGCCAGCCGCCGCGGUAA
rnacentral:rRNA from 1 species